rnacentral:lncRNA from 1 species
CAAAAUAUAUUUUAUAUUUGAAAUUCUUGAAAGUAGCCACCCUUUGCCUUGAUGACAGCUUUGCACACUCUUGGCAUUCUCUCAACCAGCUUCAUGAGGUAGUCACCUGGAAUGCAUUUCAAUUAACAGGUGUGCCUUCUUAAAAGUAAAUUUGUGGAAUUUCUUUCCUUCUUAAUGCGUUUGAGCCAAUCAGUUGUGUUGUGACAAGGUACGGGGGGUAAACAGAAGAUAGCCCUAUUUGGUAAAAGACCAAGUCCAUAUUAUGGCAAGAGCCGCUCAAAUAAGCAAAGAGAAACGACAGUCCGUCAUUACUUUAAGACAGGAAGGUCAGUCAAUACGGAACAUUUCAAGAACUUUGAAAGUUUAUUCAAGUGCAGUCGCAAAAAUGAUCAAGCGCUAUGAUGAAACUGGCUCUCAUGAGGACCGCCACAGGAAUGGAAGACCCAGAGUUACCUCUGCUGCAGAGGAUAAGUUCAUUAUAUUUACCAGCCUCAGAAAUUGCAGCCCAAAUAGAUGUCUCACAGAUUUCAAGUAACAGACAUCUCAACAUAAACUGUUCAGAGGAGACUGUGUGAAUCUGGACUUUGUGGUCGAAUUGCUGCAAAGAAACCACUAUUAAAGGACACCAAUAAGAAGAAGAGACUUGGGCCAAGAAACACAAGCAAUGGACAUUAGCUGGUGGAAAUUUGUCCUUUGUCUGGAGUCCAAAUGUUAGAUUUUUCGUUCCAACCGGCGCGUAUUUGUGAGAUGCGGUGUGGGUGAACAGAUGAUCUCCACAUGCGUAUUUCCCACCGUAAAGCAUAGAGGAGGAGGUGUUAUGGUGUGGGGGUGCUUUGCUGGUGACACUGUCUGUCAUUUAUUUAGAAUUCAAGGCACACUUAACCAGCAUGGCUACCACAGCAUUCUGCAGUGAUACGCCAUCCUAUCUGGUUUGGGCUUAGUGGGACUAUCAUUUGUUUUUCAACAGGACUAUGACCGAACACACCUCCAGGCUGUGUAAGGGCUAUUUGAUCAAGAAGGAGAGUGAUGGAAUGCUGCAUCAGAUGACCUGGCCUCCACAAUCCCCAACCUCAAGCAACUUGAGAUGGUUUGGGAUGAGUCGGACAGCAGAGUGAAGGAAAAGCAGCCAAUAAGUGCUCAUUAUAUGUGGGAACUCCUUCAAGACUGUUGGAAAAGCAUUCCAGGUGAAGCUAGUUGAGAGAAUGCUAAGAGUGUGCAAAGCUGUAAUCAAGGCAAAGGGUGGCUACUUUGAAGAAUCUCAAAUAUAAAAUAUAUUUUGAUUUGUUUAAUACUUUUGUGGUACCUACAUGAUUCCAUGUGUUAUUUCAUAGUUUUGAUGUGUUCAUUAUUAUUCUACAAUGUAGAAAAUAGUACAAAUAAACAAAAACCCUUGAAUGAGUAGGUGUUAUAAAACUCUUGACCGGUAGUGUAAUCAUGAUUUUUUUAUAAAAACAAAAAAGGAAAUAAAGUAAUAUUUAUCAGUGUGUGUUUCUGUGUGUGUGCGUGUGCUUGCAUGUAUGUGUAUGUGAGAGUGUUCAAAUGUAUGAAUGUAUGUAUGUACAGUUUGUAUGUAUUUAUGUAUGUAUGCAAAAAUAUAUAUAUAUUCUCGAAAAACAUAUUCUUGUCGGCAGUGGUAUUGUGUGUGGUGUUCAAUAGUUUUACACACAAACUAAUCUCAGACGCACGUGA